rnacentral:lncRNA from 1 species
GAGUUCAAUUGCGCCAGCGCCAGAAGGCGUCAAAUGUUCUGGCCGUUUUGAGCCCAAGCGGCUUGCUCAGGGAGGAGAGGCCCUGCUUGCCCCAUGCACCCGGCAAGAGGGCAGCCACCUGCCGCCCUGGGGAUCGGGAGCAGUGGCCCAGGAGGCUGUGAUUGGCUCAGCUGAAGUGAUAUCUUGAAUGUUUUUAGACAUUUGGGAAUGGAAGAGAAGCUGAUGUAGAGACUAGAGCAUAGCUGCCUCAUUACUCUUGGUCUAGCCCAAGGUGACAAACCAAAGAAGGAGGCUCACGGAGAUCUGGAAAUAUCAGUCAUAGGUUAACAUGGCUCACAGCGCUGGAUAGAUGGAGUCUUACGUCCCUGCACAAAGCUGGGACAAUCAAUUAGCAGGUCAAUCCAAAAUGAAUCCCUCCCAUCACCCUUUUUCCUGGAAUUACAGGAACUAGAAGAUUUGUGCCUUCUACUUGGAAAGAGGAGAGACUGGGAAAGAAAUCAAAAGGACAGCUUCAUCUCUGAGCUGCAACUGUCUGUGAAGGAGAAAAGCCCUAAAAGACCCGGCUUUGAAGGAGCUGCUGAUAGCCAGAAACCAUGGUACUUUACCACAGUGCUGCAUAUUGGAGCACAGCACAGAUAUCACCACGCUGACUGCAGAGGGGACAUGCAUCCGUCGGGAAUGGCGUGGCACCAUAAGGAGUCUCUAGCUUGGAUUCUGAAAGCAAAAGAACCACAGCUGUGUGAUACUGCACCUAAAAUACUAUGUCCUCCAUCUUGACGAUGCUCCUAGAACAUUAAAAGAAAAAUCUGUGGAAGCUAGCUGAGGGUUGUGCAAGCAAAACUGAAUGGCAAAUAAACUGAGGUAAGUUGGAGUUUAUGUCCCUGAA